CUGUGCAAACCCUUCUGAAAACACUAUUGUAAUUGAGAGCAACGGACAGGGACUGACCAACUACUUCUCCUUCAACAUGUUCCAGUUCAACGGGAACUCUAAAGACAUUUACCUGCACUGCAGGAUGAACCUGUGUCUCAAAAGUGACAAUUCCUGCACCCGGAGUUGCGGCCAAGGUGCUAGGAGACGCAGAUCCUACAGAAAUAAACUUGAAAGUGAAACCGAUUCAAUCGUCAUCAUGGCCUGGGGUACUUAGGUUGGAGACUCAGACCUGUCGACAAGGUGAAGACCUCCAGAUAAAGAGUCUGGACACAUGAAUAUCUUUGUGAACAUCAUCUCCUGAAAAGAUUAAGCUCAGUUAUGAUUGCUGUUGAGCCACAUACCACAAAGAAAUGCCAUUACCAAAGCAAAAUCCUCUUAAAUGUGAGCAUUACAUGAGAACCCGUAAGAGUGCAUCAACAUACCUGAGCGAUUCUUUAACGGAGAAUAAAUAGUUAUUUUGUGAAAGUUACAUUCUUGAUAUGACAUAAAAAAUAAACAAA